AGCGGCGGACGGGUGAGUAAUGCUUGGGAAUCUGCCCAAUAGUGGGGGAUAACGUGUGGAAACGCACGCUAAUACCGCAUACGUCCUACGGGAGAAAGCAGGGGAUCUUCGGACCUUGCGCUAUUGGAUGAGCCCAAGUCAGAUUAGCUAGUUGGUGGGGUAAUGGCUCACCAAGGCGACGAUCUGUAGCUGGUCUGAGAGGAUGAUCAGCCACACUGGGACUGAGACACGGCCCAGACUCCUACGGGAGGCAGCAGUGGGGAAUAUUGCACAAUGGGCGAAAGCCUGAUGCAGCCAUGCCGCGUGUGUGAAGAAGGCUCUAGGGUUGUAAAGCACUUUCAGUGGGGAGGAAAAGUUCAAAAUUAAUACUUUUGAACCUUGACGUUACCUGCAGAAGAAGCACCGGCAAACUCCGUGCCAGCAGCCGCGGUAAUACGGAGGGUGCGAGCGUUAAUCGGAAUUACUGGGCGUAAAGCGCGCGUAGGUGGUUUGAUAAGCUAGCUGUGAAAGCCCUGGGCUCAACCUGGGAACUGCAGUUAGAACUGUCUGGCUAGAGUAUAGUAGAGGGUGGCGGAAUUUCCUGUGUAGCGGUGAAAUGCGUAGAUAUAGGAAGGAACAUCAGUGGCGUGCGGCCACCUGGACUAAUACUGACACUGAGUGCGAAGCGUGGGGAGCAACAGAUAGAUACCUUGUUAGUCCACGCCGA
rnacentral:rRNA from 1 species